rnacentral:lncRNA from 1 species
GGCGCUUCAAAACGAAAGUAGGCUGUCAAUAUUGUCAAUCGCGCCUUUCAAUAAAGACUUACACUAGUUUUUUCAUGCUUGACUGUGAUAAUGAACCAUACCAGAGUCCCGGCUCCCAGGGAAAAACCAGUACUGCUGCCGUAUGAGAAGGCGCGGUCGUGGUCCCAGUGAGGCACGAACCUAAGACCCCCGCAACAUUUUAAAAGAAUUUCAAGAUGACUAGAUGGGAGAAUCUAGAAUGCUCAAAAUGCCUUAACGUAUGCUGCAGGGAGACAUAUUCCAUGUUCGAAGGCCGUUCUAAAAAUAAUGACAAUGGCGCUUCCGUAGAAGUUUGACAUGCAAGUUUUACAUGGAUGAAACAUGAAUGGCUCCUUUAUAAUCUGAAAACUAUCGUACCAUUUCGGAGAAUCAAUGUUUCAGGUGUAGUCAAUAUACACAAAGCAAACUACAUGUAACUGUGAAAAGCGAACAAACUCUGAAAUUAGAGCGUACAUUAACGUUGUUAAUGCAAGGCAGAUACUCAGUGUGUUCAUGCAAGGCAGAUACUCAAUGUGUUCAUGCAAGGCAGAUACUCAGUGUGUUCAUGCAAGGCAGAUACUUAGUGAACUGCAAACUUCAUUUUGGAAGUCAGAGAAAACCGUGUUUACAGGUGGGUACGUAAAUUUAAAGAUGGUCUGACAGUCCUUAGAAUGGUCAGGCCUAAAACAGCAGCGACAUCACAGAACAUUGCUACUGUAAGACGUCUGAUUGAUGAAGGAGUCCGAGAUAAUGUCUUUUUUUUUUGGCAUGUCAACGGGGAGAAGUCAUGAACACCAAGCAAUGUUUGUGCCCGAUGGGUGCCUUACAUAUUAACCGAGGAGCAAAAGGGCCAAAUGUGCUAAAGAAACGGUGAAAAAGAUCUCAAAUUUACAUGAUCUCUCCUAACAGGAGACGAGACCGGGAUAUAUUUACAGUGGCUGUGAAAAGGUGACCGUAGAAAAGGCAAAAAAAAAAAAAAAAAAAAAAAAAGAACUAAAAGUGUCAAGAAGGAUUUGUAUUCCAUCGGGUAAUGUGGUACAAAUUCCUACACCGCCAGGAAUGUCGGUUACUGGAAAGUUUUAUAAAGUGCUAAAGUUUCUAUAAGACAAGUUUUUAUAAAGACAAAAUUUUGAAAAUACAAAAAAAUGGUCCAAGGA